GACGUAGGGCGCGAGCGUUGUCCGGAUUUAUUGGGCGUAAAGAGCUCGUAGGCGGUUUGUCGCGUCUGCUGUGAAAACUGGAGGCUCAACCUCCAGCCUGCAGUGGGUACGGGCAGACUAGAGUGCGGUAGGGAGAUUGGAAUUCCUGGUGUAGCGGUGAAAUGCGCAGAUAUCCGGAGGAACACCGGUGGCGAAGGCGGCUUCCUGGACCGACACUGACGCUGAGGCGCGAAAGCUAGGGAGCAAACGGG
rnacentral:rRNA from 1 species